GGAGAGCUGCCCGAGGGGAAAGGGGUCGGCUUGCUAAGUCGAAGCCGGUGCGCAAGCGCCGCACAGGUUCGAGUCCUGUGCUCUCCG
rnacentral:tRNA from 1 species